rnacentral:rRNA from 1 species
GGGACGAACGCUGGCGGCGUGCUUAACACAUGCAAGUCGAGCGGAAAGGCCCUUCGGGGUACUCGAGCGGCGAACGGGUGAGUAACACGUGAGUAAUCUGCCCCUAGCUCUGGGAUAGCUCCGGGAAACCGGGAUUAAUACCGGAUAUGACCACUUUAGACAUCUGUUGUGGUGGAAAGAAUUUCGGCUAGGGAUGAGCUCGCGGCCUAUCAGCUUGUUGGUGGGGUAACGGCCUACCAAGGCGACGACGGGUA